rnacentral:rRNA from 2 species
UGAGCUGUGAUGGGGAGAAGACAUUGUGUCUUCGAGUCGUUGAUUUCACACUGCCGAGAAAAGCCUCUAGAUAGAAAAUAGGUGCCCGUACCGCAAACCGACACAGGUAGUCAAGAUGAGAAUUCUAAGGUGAGCGAGCGAACUCUCGUUAAGGAACUCGGCAAAAUGACCCCGUAACUUCGGGAGAAGGGGUGCUCUUUAGGGUUAACGCCCAGAAGAGCCGCAGUGAAUAGGCCCAAGCGACUGUUUAUCAAAAACACAGGUCUCUGCUAAACCGUAAGGUGAUGUAUAGGGGCUGACGCCUGCCCGGUGCUGGAAGGUUAAGAGGAGUGGUUAGCUUCUGCGAAGCUACGAAUCGAAGCCCCAGUAAACGGCGGCCGUAACUAUAACGGUCCUAAGGUAGCGAAAUUCCUUGUCGGGUAAGUUCCGACCCGCACGAAAGGCGUAACGAUUUGGGCACUGUCUCAACGAGAGACUCGGUGAAAUCAUAGUACCUGUGAAGAUGCAGGUUACCCGCGACAGGACGGAAAGACCCCGUGGAGCUUUACUGUAGCCUGAUAUUGAAAUUCGGCACAGCUUGUACAGGAUAGGUAGGAGCCUUUGAAACGUGAGCGCUAGCUUACGUGGAGGCGCUGGUGGGAUACUACCCUAGCUGUGUUGGCUUUCUAACCCGCACCACUUAUCGUGGUGGGAGACAGUGUCAGGCGGGCAGUUUGACUGGGGCGGUCGCCUCCUAAAAGGUAACGGAGGCGCUCAAAGGUUCCCUCAGAAUGGUUGGAAAUCAUUCAUAGAGUGUAAAGGCAUAAGGGAGCUUGACUGCGAGACCUACAAGUCGAGCAGGGUCGAAAGACGGACUUAGUGAUCCGGUGGUUCCGCAUGGAAGGGCCAUCGCUCAACGGAUAAAAGCUACCCCGGGGAUAACAGGCUUAUCUCCCCCAAGAGUUCACAUCGACGGGGAGGUUUGGCACCUCGAUGUCGGCUCAUCGCAUCCUGGGGCUGUAGUCGGUCCCAAGGGUUGGGCUGUUCGCCCAUUAAAGCGGUACGCGAGCUGGGUUCAGAACGUCGUGAGACAGUUCGGUCCCUAUCCGUCGUGGGCGUAGGAAAUUUGAGAGGAGCUGUCCUUAGUACGAGAGGACCGGGAUGGACAUACCUCUGGUGUACCAGUUGUCGUGCCAACGGCAUAGCUGGGUAGCUAUGUGUGGACGGGAUAAGUGCUGAAAGCAUCUAAGCAUGAAGCCCCCCUCAAGAUGAGAUUUCCCAACUUCGGUUAUAAGAUCCCUCAAAGAUGAUGAGGUUAAUAGGUUCGAGGUGGAAGCAUGGUGACAUGUGGAGCUGACGAAUACUAAUCGAUCGAAGACUUAAUCAA